UACGUAGGCGCCAAGCGUUAUCCGGAAUCAUUGGGCGUAAAGCGUUCGCAGGCGGCGAAGCAAGUCAGGUGUGAAAUAUCAAGGCUUAACCUUGAACACAUGCUUGAAACUGCUUUGCUAGAGUCUGAGAGAGGCCACUGGAAUUCCUAUUGUAGGGGUAAAAUCCGUAGAUAAUAGGAGGAACACCAAAAGCGAAGGCAGGUGGCUGGCUCAGUACUGACGCUCAGGGACGAAAGCGUGGGGAGCAAAGAGGAUUAGAUACCCUUGUAGUCCACGCUGUAAACGAUGAGUGCUAGGCGUUGGAGGGAUUCGACCCCCUUCAGUGUCCACAGUUAACACGUUAAGCACUCCGCCUGGGGAGUACGGUCGCAAGACUAAAACUCAAAGGAAUAGACGGGGACCCGCACAAGCAGUGGAGUAUGCGGUUUAAUUCGAUGAUAAGCGAGGAACCUCACCUAGACUUGACAUCUCGAGAAAGCCUUGGAAACAAAGCCGUGCUUUCUAAGAACUCGAUGACAGGUGCUGCAUGGUUGUCGUCAGCUCGUGCCCUGAGGUGUUCGGUUAAGUCCGUAAACGAGCGCAACCCUUGUCGUGUGUUGUAUUUCUCACACGAGACUGCCGGUUAUACGCCGGAGGAAGGCAGGGACGACGUCAAAUCAGCAUGGCCCUUAUGUCUAGGGCGACACGCGUACUACAAUGGGAUGCACAACGGGUAGCCAAGGAGUAAUCCGGAGCCAAUCCUUAAAACAUCCCCCAGUUCGGAUUGAGGGCUGCAACUCGCCCUCAUGAAGUUGGAAUUGCUAGUAGCCGCGCAUCAGCCAUGGCGCAGUGAAUAUGUUCCCGGGUCU
rnacentral:rRNA from 1 species